UACGUAGGUGGCAAGCGUUGUCCGGAAUUAUUGGGCGUAAAGCGCGCGCAGGCGGUCCUUUAAGUCUGGUGUGAAAGCCCACGGCUCAACCGUGGAAGGUCAUUGGAAACUGGAGGACUUGAGUACAGAAGAGGAAAGCGGAAUUCCACGUGUAGCGGUGAAAUGCGUAGAGAUGUGGAGGAACACCAGUGGCGAAGGCGGCUUACUGGUCCGGUUCUGACGCUGAGGCGCGAAAGCGUGGGGAGCAAACAGG
rnacentral:rRNA from 1 species